rnacentral:rRNA from 1 species
GGUUGCGAUCAUACCAGCACUAAUGCACCGGAUCCCAUCAGAACUCCGCAGUUAAGCGUGCUUGGGCGAGAGUAGUACUAGGAUGGGUGACCCCCUGGGAAGUCCUCGUGGUGCAACCC